rnacentral:rRNA from 1 species
UAUUAUUCUAAAAAUAAUUGUUUCCUUAGUUAGUAAUAGAUAUUUUCUUAAAAUCUAAAAAAUUUGGCGGUAAUUUAAUCUUUUCAGAGGAACUUGUUUUUUGAUCGAUAAACCGCGAAUAAUCUUACUUGCUUACAUAUUAAAGUUUGUAUACCAUCAUUAUCAGGUAAUUUUAAAAGAAUAAAUUAUCAGGAGUAAAUUUUUAAUAAAAUUAGAUCAAGGUGCAGCUAAUAAGGAAGGUAAAAUGAGUUACAAUAAAUUUUUUUAAACGGUUAAAUGGAAGAAUUUUUAUUUAUAAGGAGGAUUUGGUAGUAUUUUAAGUUUAAUAUGCUUUGAAGAUAAUAGCUCUAAAUUAUGUACAUAU